CGAGAAGCCACCAAAUACGUCUCCGGCUGCAAAGAAAAAUGGGGCCAGCUCAUAAAUUCUUCUUGCAUAUGAUUUCUUCAUCUGAGCCCAGAAAACGCCUUCUCUUGUUGGCUUUGAGGUUUGACGCUUUUUUCCACUUACAUCCUGAAGAGACAGCGGCAAGGUGAAACGUGAGAAGUGUUUAAAGCAUUUUCAAAGAUUCCACGUCUAAUUUUCCUUCUCAAUUUCAAAGAAAGAAUGUCGUUCACUUCACUUCCACAGCCUUUCUCUGGAAUGGACCGAAUAUGGAAUAACAUGGACGUGGCUGAUGAGCAUCCCGAGACGGGAUGACAUUGCGUAAUUCUUCCUGGAACUGCAAUAGGAUGGGGGUGUCUUUUGACA